AAGGGUACAGCUCAAGUGGUAGAGCACACGCUUAGCAUGCAUGAGGUCCUGGGUUCAAGCCCCAGUACCUCCA
rnacentral:tRNA from 1 species